UUAAGUUCAGCGGGUAGUCCUACCUGAUUUGAGGUCAAGUCAAAAGAAAUUGUCCAAGCUAAUGGACGGUUAGAAGCAGAAAAACCAGCAAAAGACCCAAUCAUCAAGAUGCAGAUAAACUAUCACACCAAGAGGAAAGGAUAAGGUUUCCGCUAAUGUAUUUAAGGGGAGCCGACCUCUGAGAAGCCCGCAACCCCCAC
rnacentral:misc_RNA from 1 species